AUGCCACACCUCAUUAACCUCAGUCAGGUUACGUGCGCACGCGCCCAUCUGCCCAUCUCCUCCCGCCUCGUAGAAACUACUCGCUCGGCCGGCGACCGAUCGAUGGCGGCCGCGGCGGCGCUGGGACCGGAGCUGCUGGAGGAGGCGCGGGCGCCGGGGUUCGCGGCGUGGCUGCGGGGGCUGCGUCGCCAGAUCCACCAGCACCCGGAGCUGGCCUUCCAGGAGCACCGCACCUCCGCGCUCGUGCGCGCCGAGCUCGACGCCCUCGGCGUCCCCUACGUCUGGCCUAUCGUGCGCACCGGCGUCGUGGCCACCAUCUCCGGCGGUGUUCCGGGCCCCGUGUUCGCGCUCCGGGCCGAUAUGGACGCGCUCCCCAUCCAGGAGAUGGUGGAGUGGGAGUUCAAGAGCAAGGAGGACGGCAAGAUGCACGCCUGCGGCCACGACGCGCACACCGCCAUGCUCCUCGGCGCCGCCAAGUUGCUCCAGUCCCGCAAGGACGGCCUCGCGGGCACGGUGAAGCUCGUGUUCCAGCCGGCGGAGGAGAGCCAUGCCGGCGGGUACCACGUGCUUCAAUCCGGCGUCCUGGACGACGUGGCCGCCAUCUUCGCCGUGCACAUCGACACGCAUCUCCGCGCUGGCGCCGUCGGGUCCAGGCCGGGGCCGUUCCUCGCCGGGUCGGCCCGCUUCAAGGCCACCAUAACAGGGAAGGGCGGCCAUGGCGCCAUGCCGCACGCAGCCGUCGAUCCGGUGGUGGCCGCCUGCUCCGCCGUGCUCAGCCUGCAGCAGCUCGUCGCCCGCGAGACGGACCCGCUCCAGGGCGCGGUGGUCUCGGUGACCACCAUCAGGGGCGGCGAGACCUUCAACGUCAUCCCGGAGUCCGUGACGCUGGGCGGCACCUUCAGGAGCAUGACGACGCCGGGGAUGCGGUACCUGAUGAGGAGGAUCAGGGAGGUGGUCGAGGGGCAGGCGGCGGUGGCGCGGUGCGCGGCCACGGUGGACUUCAUGGAGGAGGAGCUCCGGCCGUACCCGGCCACGGUGAACGACGAGGGCGUGUACGCGCACGCCAGGGCGGUGGCGGAGGGCAUGCUCGGCGCCGCGAACGUCAGGCUGUCCCCGCAGAUCAUGGCCGCCGAGGACUUCGGGUUCUACGCCGAGAAGAUCCCGGCCGCCUUCUUCGGCCUCGGCGUCCGCGCCGGCGGCGAGGAAGACGAGGUGCACCACGUGCACACGCCGCGCAUGGUCAUCAGUGAGGACGCGCUCCCCGUCGGGGCCGCCCUACACGCCGCCGUGGCCAUCGAGUUCUUGAGCAAGCGCGCGCGUGCCACGGCAUCGCCUCCCGUGGCUGCGUAG
rnacentral:rRNA from 1 species